GAGCGGCAGCACCAGGAGUGCUGGACUGCAGCUAAUCAAGCCUGAGCUCGCAGAAACCGAGUGGAGAGAGGAAGACGGAGAGGAAAGAAGUGGGGAGGAGAGGAAGACGUAUCCAGGGAGCCGUCAGGAACUUGGCCAUGACUGAAGGAAUGGCAGCUGCUGCUACUCACGGCUUCUUUCUUACAUUCAGAUAUAAUGUUGGCAUGGAGCAGGUGAGUCUGCACGGCCCACCUACCUUUUCUGUGGUGCUGAGUGGCUGCCAGGUAGAUGGACAGGUAGACGACGACGAACAGAGCCCACAGCUGCGUCAUGUUGGAUAUCCUCACACACUGAUCGACUCACACAAAUGAACAUCACAACGGCCUGGCUGUCUGGGCUCUCAUCUGGAAAUCAUCAGGAUUUUGGGUAGCGCCUGCCCUCUUGGCUGGACUUGUGUCUCAGCUACUGGCUGACUGGUUCAGUUACUGAGCGACUCUCCAACUGACUGGAUAACUGUGACUGACUAACUGGAAGAGUGGCUGACCCACUUGCCGAUUGAUUAACUGAGCCCUAAUGGCAUCCCAUAAGCCAGCACAGCAGCAGUGAUAGCACAAAAGAUGGAUGGUCUCCUCGGAAGAAGUGCUCUAGCUUGAUGAAGCGUUGUUAUCAUCUUAAAGGAUGAUUCCUAUUUUAUUUCAUCUUGGCUUUCAUUUUCAUUGUUUGUUUUCUUUCAGCAAUAAUGGCAAAAACACACCAAGCUGUCUGCUACGAUCGAGGUUCUAGAAACGAGGAGUCACAUUUGACAGACUGUAGACAAACUGAGAGCGUUAUUCAGCUUUUUCUAAGAAGGCAAAACAACGUGACUGCAUCCAAAAUGUCUCACAGCCCUGAGCACAUGGCAUGCCUUCUAAAAUACAUCUUGCUGUCGGGGCCGUUUAGCAGCCCAACGCUCUUCUUCCCUCUUGGUGCGGUGUGCUGCCUCUCCACAGACGGUCAUCUACUGCAGAUAACACACUGACGAGGGAUAAGUACCUCAUACACCCAAACACAUCAAAAACCUGACCUCUCUCUUUCAUUUGAUGAGUGCAACAUUAUCAUAAUACAAUCACGACUGCGUGAUAUAAUGAUUUAUUACAACGGUAUUCAUGUCCUGGCAUUUUUCUUCCCAGUUAAUGCAUUCUGUUUCUCCCUCCUACACACACACACACACACAUCUUUCCUUUCAUGUGUUUAAAUUCUACUUUAAUUAACUGAAAUCCUGCGCCGCACAAGAGAACAAAGUCCUGUCUUAAAAAGGCCCGUUUGAUUGCAGGUAGACGAUGACUACACAGGCUGGAGACAAACCGCUACGUGUCGACAGCCGGCGAUGACGCGGGGACCACUCAGAGCAUCUUGAUUCAAGGCUGUAAAGACACCCUCCACGUCUUUAUACUCGCUCCUCCACAGCCUCUUGUGCUCUUUGUUGUCGCAGAAUAUGUGCAAUAAACACACAGCUCCCUGUUCCACUGCCAAGGCACAUAAUAGACUGUGUAGGUGCUCUGGGUUUCAGAUGGUUUGCUUUCUUGGCUCGGCUUCCGAUGCUGCAUCUGUUCAAAUAAGAUGAUGUGUACAAGGAGUACAAAAAAAAAAAGGAGGGGGCACUUAUAUCCAAUCAGCAGAUUAGAGUGCAAUAAUUAAUUAUUCAAAUAGAGGCUGAAGAUAUCAAACUUAUACAUUAUUCCAACAAUGUAACGCUGAUAAGAGCCAACUAUUCCUUAUCAACGCUGUGCUGAUGGAAUAAACAAUGAACUCUGGUAUCUGUGCCUCUCUGAGUGGUGAGCCUUUAUUUUUUCAGGUAACUCUCCCCCCUGUUGUCGCCUCCAACCGGCAUCUGAAGCGACGAAAUGCAAUCACAAAUGGCAGCACGAGACAAGAAUCGUGCUCCUGUUUCAUUGCAGGGGCGAUUAAAAAAAAAAACAAAACAGAGCAGACACGCGGGAGCCAUAACUCCCGAUGUUAAUCUGGACACUUUUCAAGCUUCGUGGAGGAAAGUCUUCAUGAACUCGGCCUUCACGUGCUCCUUUUUAAAACAAAUAUGAUGCCAAGGAGGAAUUUCAGCAAGGAACAACUCUGUCCCGCUUGAUUAGUUGUAAUCUAGUUGGCAUUCAAAGAUCUGAUUAAUCUACGCGCCGCUGGAAGCCAUAUGUUUGAUUUAAUGUUUGCCCGCAGCAGAUGGGCAAUGCAGGUACGAUGGAGCCUUUACAUAAAACGCAUUUCCACGGAUGAGGAAGCUGGAAGAACGCCUCGGUGGACAAGCUGCAGCUCCUGUUUUCGCAUGUGCUUCACAUGACUCACACACGAGGGGAAGGCAGAUGGAGGCACAUUCUGUGGGCUCAAAAACAAAAAAAGAAAAAAAAAAGUCUCUCCUGUAAGCUCACGUCUCCUGCGCUUGCCCGCAGGUGCAACAGCUGCAAGACAAGAAACAUGGUGUUGACCCCUGAAUGGGUUCUGAACAACACGGGCACACACGGUUGCUUUUUUCCCUUGUGGCCACGAGGGGGCAGU